AGUACCUUGAAACUUGCUUUUUACUGAGUCCUAAGUUUCCUGUCCUUUCUUAGAAAAAAUGCUUUUAAAAAUACCUCUAUCCUCAAAGUUGACACUGGUUUUGUCUUUUAUACCAAUAAUUUUUUUCUACCCUGAAAUUCUUUGAUCAGACUUGUCUUCCCUUUCCAAACUCUAGAUGUCCAGGUCCAAUACAUAGGCUUUUUCUCUAUAUAAACCCUCUCUCUAAAUGAAGUCUUCCAGACCUGUUAUUUCAAUAAGCUUAUUACUCCUAACUUUUCACAGAUUGCUUUCUCAUUGUUGGACAUUUAUGGUCAUGACCCCAGCUUUUCUCUUCCUUGUGCAAGAAAGAUGACAUGUUUUCUACUGCCGCUUCAGCCACCUACAAAAUGUCAUGACUAGGGCCCACCCUCAAGCUAAAUCUACAAAGGUAGGGAACUCACCCAUUCCCAUCUCUUCUUCCGAGUUUCAGCUUACCUCCAAAGUCUGAGUUUGGUAGUUGCCUUUUAACUUUUGUUCAGAGUUUAUAGAUGUUUUCUGUAGGUGGAUUGAUCUACCAUGAAGUGACUCUGUCACAUGGAAGCAGAACGCCUCACUCACUAAGUUUUAUACUGCAUUAUUUAUAUAUUUCACUUUUAAAAUUUUCAUUUAGUUUAUUGCAAUUUUUUCUGGUCACAUGAAAAAUAUUCUCUUGUUCCUUGUAUAUUUUGUAAUAUAAUCUGUUUCAUUUACUUUGUAUAUGAUCAUUCAAAUACCUGAUGUCUUUGAGGGUAUAACUCUUGUUUGCAAUUUCUACUGCUUUCUCUCUUCUUGUUUCCAUGUGUUUUUUUAUAAAUGUUUUUUUCAUUGUAAGCUCAUAAUUGGCUCAAUGUAGUCUAUGAGAAUCUGAAGGGUCAUAAAUUGAGCCUGCUUUUCUCAAGAUAAGAGUUUUUAUUUGCUUCUGCCACGUUUGGUCUUUCAAACAUGCCACAAACAUGGAACAACUUUCCUUUUUUUCUUUUGUUUUAACCUGGUGAUAACCUAACAAGAGAACAGUCAGUGCAGACGUUAUGGGUGCCGGACCUGUGUGGGCACACAGAACCUUGAACUCAGAAAGGCAUCACGCUUGGUGUAAUGCUCUGCUGUGGCCAUUUACAAAUUCUUAAUAAUAAUUUGUAAACAAAGGCUCUCACAGUUUCAUUUCACACUGGCCCCACCAUAGCUGAUCUUGAGGAGUGUAUACCUGAGUUUACCACAGUAAUAGUGCUAUAGCCAUAAAUUCUAUGGAAAUACUAUGUUCUUGUUAUUGUUGAAAGUAUUUCCAUGGUAUAGCGAAUAAAUGAACUCUCUGUUGCUUCCAUUUAUAGGCAGCUAGCUGUUCUUCUGCCCACACUUAUACAGAAGUUGUAUUUCUUUGAAUGCCAAAGUUUUAUUAAGAUACUCCACUUCUGCUCCCCAACUGUAGCAGACAGUGCUAGUGAUGACACAGAUGCCCUCCAAUCCAUUUCAAGCUAGACAUGUUCUUCAGAGGGCCUCCCUUAAGCUACUGGAGCCAUUGUACUGGAUCUGCACAGAAACUAGAAGUUCCUAGGAGUUUCUCCCUUCAACCUCCCCACAUACACCCUUAGCCAAUUACUAUUAGGUGCAGGUGUAUGAAAACCCAGGAUUUUUUUAGGGCAGAAUGCCGAGACCAGCUCGGUAAGGGAGACCCUAACCCAGCGGCGCUAGAGGAAUUAAAGACACACACACAGAAAUAUAGAAGUGUGAAGCAGGGGUCUCACAGCCUUCACAGCUGAGAGCCCAAACAGAGAUUUACCCACAUAUUUAUUAACAACAAACCAAUCAUUAGCAUUGUUUCUAUAGAUAUUAAAUUAACUAAAAGUGUCCCUUAUGGAAAAUGAAGGAAUGGGCCGAAUUAAAGGAAUAGGUUGGGCUGGUUAAUUGCAGCAGGAGCAUGUCCUUAAGGCACAGAUCAUUCAUGCUAUUGUUAGUGGCUUAAGAAUGCCUUUAAGCAGUUUUCCGCUCUAGGCGGGCUAGGUGUUCCUUGCCCUCAUUCCCACAAACCCACAACCUUCCAGCUUGGGCGUUGGGGCCAUUAUGAACAUGUUACAGUGCUGCAGAGAUUUUGUUUGUGAUCAGUUUUGGGGACAGUUUAUGGCCAGAUUUUGGGGGGACUGCUCCCAACACGUCCCCCUUCUCUGAUUUGCAAAUCUAUAAAAGCAAAGGCAGCUAUAUCACGGUGAGCUACUUCUCUCAGGAGUCAGGAUCCACAUCUGCAAACUAUACAAAGACAAACAACACAGAUUAAAAGCACAAUCAUCAUUGAAAUCACAGAGCUUCCAAGUGUUUUUAUCCAUUUUCAUGGGUUACUAGCUGCUAAUUUGUCUGUAACUCCUUCAAGUACUCCAGUUCCUGGCAUUAAGGUCAGGUGUGCCUGGGAUGCUUUAAAUAUUUGUUCUUUUAAUUUUAAAUCCUUACGUUAAGCUCCUAGAGCGGGCCAUAUCAUUUGAGGCUGAGGUGCCACUAUAACGCCAUGGUUCCAGAUAAUAGGAACUUUUGCCAUACUUCUUAUCAUUUCUACCAUCUGACCAUUUUGUUCAGAUCAUCUGAACAUAGUGUGGCCGUGGCACGCAGACUGAGAGGUGCAAUUAAAGCUAAACAUCCCCUUAGGGGACAAAUUAAUAAUGAUUCCAUAUGAAUCAUUGUGCAGCACCUCUGCCUGUUAUGCAAUGCAAUCUUCCUAAACAAGUACGUUCAUUUUUUCUAACUGGGUCCAAUCCUGUUUACAAACAGGUUUUUGAGGGCAGUAUGCCUCAAUUAUAUUAUGGUAAAUACUGAGAUCAGAAAGCAUGUGUAACUGUGUCAUAAAGUGAUUGCAUCCAGGCAUUAUUGCCAGCCAAGAUUGAUAAAUAUACCCAAUAAGUAUAAUUGUUCUCUGUGUCAGCCCUUACUGAAAGAAUACUCAUGGCUGUGGUGAUAACCGCUAUCAUAGCUACCAUCAGAUUUACUCAUUGUGACCGAUUGUCCUGCUUUCCUCAGGUUUUCUUCUGCCAUCUGUGACAGCUUCUUGAUCUGUCCCCAGAUGGGUGGCUGUGCUCGUGACAGUUGGAGUCCUCCUCAGCAUCAGUCUCAACAUGGCUGCAACUGGGGGGUUCUCAGGAUCCUCCCGGAGUCUAUUCCUCAGCAUCUGGCUCACGAUAAGGUUUCAGGUGUCUUGAUGGUAUCCAAAUAGGCUAUUGAUAUUGGCCUGGAGAAACACAAGCAUAACCUCUCCCCCAAGUUAUUAUUUUACCUAUUUCCCAACUUCGUGUUAUCGGAUCUCUCCACCAAAUCAGUUGUUCUGUUUUUGUCCUUGCAGCUGGUUUCUGUAGAUGCUGUUCAGCUGCUGAUAACAUGUGGCCUUUGGGCAGGCUCAAAAAAUUUACUGUUAAUAAUGCUAGGUUCAGUUGCAUCUGUGGGGUUCCAUAUUCUCUGUCUCCCCCUUUCUGCUUUUGCAACUGCUAUUUUAGGGAGAGAUUCAUUCUUUCCACUAUGGCUUGUACUUGAGAAUUGUAUGGGAUACCGGUGAUGUGUUUAAUAUUCCACAUAUAGAAAAAUGUAGCCAGAGCUUGGCUAGUAUAGCCUGGGGCAUUAUCUGUUUUAAUAGAAGCUGGAAUGCCCAUCACCACAAAACACUGCAAAAGAUGAUGUUUAACACAGGCAGAAGACUCUCCUGAUUGGCAUGUAGCCCAGACAAAGUGAGAAAAGGUGUCCACACAUACAUGUACAUAAGCUAGUCUCCCAAAUGAGGGAACAUGUGUGACAUCCAUUUGCCAAAGAGAGUUAGUUUCCAAUCCUCAAGGAUUAACUCCUGUAAAAGAUGAGGAAUGUACCAUUUGGCAAGUUGGGCAUUGCUUGAUAAUAGCUUUAGCUUCUUUCCAGGUAACGCUGUAUCUGCGUUUGAGACCAGACGCAUUAACAUGGGUUAAAUUCUGAAAGUGUCUAGCAUUAGAUAUUGCAUUAGCAACUAGGCGAUUGCCAUUUGAUUUCCUUCAGUCAAAGGUCCUGGAAGAGGUGUAUGAGCCCUAAUCUAAGUGAUGUAAAAAGGGUGCAUUCUACUCCUAACUGCUGUUUGCAAUUGGGUAAAUAAAGUCAUCAGUUAUUCAUUGGUAUGAAAUUGUAACUGAGCAUUUUCAAUUAACUGUGUGGAAUGAACCAGGUAUGCAGAAUCAGAAAUCCCAUUAGUAGGCAUAUCAAAAGCAGUCGAUAUCUCAAUUACAGCUACAAGCUCCACUUUUUGAACUGAAGUAUAGAGCAGCUGGAAAACUUUACCUUUUGAUCCAAAAUAAGAAGCUUUAGCAUUACUAGACCCAUCUGUAAAAACAUUCUCAGUACCUUCAAUUGAUUUAAAUUUAGUUAUUUUAGGGAGAAUCCAAUUAGUUAAUUUCAAAUACCGAAACAGUUUCAUUUUAGGAAAAUGAUUACUGAGAAUACCCACAAAGUCAGCUAAAUGGGUUUGCCAAGUAAGACUAUUUAUAAAGCUUGCUGUAUUUGUACCUUCGUGAGAGGGACAAUAAUUUUUCCAGGAUCAUAUCCAAGUGAUUUAACAAUCCGAGUUCUCCCAAUUCCUAUCAUAGUAGCGAUUUGAUCUAAAUAAGGAGUUAGAGUCUGUGAAUUAGUAUGUGGAAGAAAAAGCCACUCUACUAAAUCCUGUUCUUGGACAAUAACACCAGUAGGUGAAUGCUGAGUUGAAAAAAUUAGCAAAUCUAGAGUCUUCUCUGGAUCUAUUCUAUUUAUUUGAGCUUUAUGGACUUGCUUCUCAAUCAGUUGUAACUCUGCCUCAGCCUCCUUUGUUAAUUGCCGAGGGCUAGUAAGACUAGGAUUUCCUCUAAAGAUAGAAAACAGAUUACUCAUGGCAUAGGUAGGAAUGCCUAGAGCAGGUCGUAUCCAAGUAAUGUCCCCUAGUAAUUUCUGAAAGUCAUUUAAUGUUUUUAGUUGAUCCCUAUGUAUGGUUACUUUCUGUGACACAAUGGUAGUGUCAUACUCCCCAAGUAGGAGUAAUAGUUGGGGAGUAAGUAGUGUCCUACUCCCCAAGUAGGAGUAAGGAGUAGUAGUCUGAAUUUUGUCAGGAGCUAUAAUUAAACCAGCAUGAGAAAUCGAAUUUUGCAAAUGAUCAUAACAUUGGAGUAAUAUUUCUCAAGAGGGGGCAGCACAAACUAUAUCAUCCAUGUAGUGAAUAAUGUAACAUUGUGAAAAUUUUUUACGAGUAGGUUCAAUUGGUUGCCCCACAUACGUCUGGGAAAUUGUUGGACUGUUUAACAUGCCCCAUGGCAAUACUUUCCAAUGAUAACGCUUAGCAGGCUGCAGGUU
rnacentral:lncRNA from 1 species